ensembl:lncRNA
CACACAGCUCUUCCUGUCUGACCCAUCCUCCCUUCCACCUCCCAUUCUUCUUACCACAGCCCUGUCAGCUCCACUCGAGUUUCAUCUGCCAUGUUCUUCCCCAAACAUCUCCUCAAAAGCUUUCUAUCACACUGCCCCUUUUGCAAGAUCCCUGAAUUCAUUCAGGGCUUGUACUACGAGUAGACUUUAUCUUAGACUCAUAAGCCUGGUACACAGGUUUCAGUGGGGCUGGCGUACAACCCUGCUCACAGAACAGUACAUUGUACAUCCUGUGCUGAAGAGUUAAUUUCCCUGCUAGCUGCUCUGCCACACCUAAGGCGAACUUUCUCCCCAAGCAGCAGGAGUCAGAGACUGCACCCAGAGAGCACCCUGGAAAACAGAGGAGCAGCAGUAUACAUCACCAGAGGCUGCAGGAGAAUACUGGAAGCAGAGGAUGGGAUCUGCCGCCUGUACCAUGCAGCAAUCAGAGCUAUCCCUACUUGUUCUUUUGAGAUAAAACACACUUUUUUUAAUGCUUAGAUUUUAAUUACCUUUCUACUCAAUGUACAGGCUUGUAGAGGAGCCCACCCUGUUUUGUAUUUUCUUUAAAGGAUCCAUAAGUUCAAUACGAUGAGACCUAGCUUAGUAAAGAUAAGGAAAGGUUUCCCCAGGGAUGCUGUGGCAUGAAGGAGGUUUCUGUCAUGAUAUGGUCAUUCUAACAAAGCAGAGCAAUACAUGAGGGUUUCUCACCUUUAACUUGUUGGCAUUAUACAGCACAGACCUUCCACUAAUUGUUACAAAUUCAGAAUAAGAAAAAAUAAAUGAAAAACAGAAGUUGAAAUUGUGAGUUAAUGAGAGCAAAAUGCGGAGUGGGCUGCAGCAUUCUGUUUGUUAAAUACUGUUGUUCCUGGGUCAAAGAGAGU